rnacentral:sRNA from 1 species
AGAAAGAUAGAAAGAUAGAAAGAUAGAAAGAUAGACAGAGCCAAAACUGCUGUUUAUAUGUAAGGGAGUUUGUGCGCAUGCACACGGCAUCCAUGUUGACCAUGAACAACAAUGAGAUCUACAAGAGAGAAUCAGGCUCAGUCAUACUACUGUCCAUCAAUAGUGCCCUUGGGUCACAAUUCUUGGGUGGCUUCUAAUGAAACCACAUUCACACAAAUCAGAAGUCUGAGUAGUCAUGGCCUCUUUUCUACACCCAUCAAUCAAUGGCUUAGUCUCCAACUGAAGGAGGAGCUUCAGCCAUGCCUAUGUUAUUGUUAGCACCAUUAUUAUAGCCAAUAAAGGGAAGGAAGGUUUUCAAUAGUAGUAAAGAUUCCCAUGCCUAUUUUGAUGCUUUCUGAAUGAGAAAACACAGCACUUGCAUCCACUGAUGCUCUGCCCUUGCCCUCCUAUGUUGUUUGCUGUGGUUGCUAUGAUGCUUGUCCAAUAACAUCAUUCAUGCUCUCACUGUCACUGAGGGCUCAGCGUAAGUCACUGGGGCUCCUUCAGAGUGGGAGGAUAGAGAAGACACAAGACUAAGAGUUGGCAUCACGGACACCAGCUGGGCGAUCUGUUGCAUUUGCCAGAGAGGAUGUCUUCAAAUGUUAAAAACUGUUAUUCCAACAAGUGACUCUUAAAUACUGGAUGUUUGAGCCAGCAUAGAGAAAAUGUAAAACAAGAUACAAAAAGCAAAACAACAGCAAAAUAAAUAAACAAACAAAUAAUAAACAAAUAAAAAAAUAAAAACAUUUCAAGCGAGUGAAACUUACAGAGUCAAAUCUAAAACAGUCUAUUUGGACUUACGAACACCCAAAGUCCCUGCCAUCCACAGGGCUGAGGAUUCAACCCAGGGUCUCUCGUGCAAGCCAGGUAAGCACUCAACCACUAAAGUAUAUCCCUAAUCUCCUUCUGAUUUCUGUUUUGAGACAGUGCCUCAGGUGAGGCAAACUGACUUUGAAUAUACACUGCCACCUCAGUGGGCCUCGAAAUUUGUGAUGCCCUCUCCUGAGUAGCUGGAAUCACAGACCUACACCGCCAUGUCGGGUCCUAAGGCAUUUUAUAAGUGAAGGCGACAGAGCAGGGAUGUUUGACCAUCUUUAUAUCCACCGCUCAAAGCUGCUGGUGUGCGUCACUGGAAAGGAGUGUAAUUGAGUGAGUGGGUGAACAGCGUGUAAAUACAAACAACAGUGUGUGCCAGCGGCAUUUAGCCCUUGCUAACUCGAUUCGAAAGUUCACGAUUUACACACUUCAGCCAAAAACGGCGAUUCCGGCCUUUGAAGUCUCGAUUUGAUUAAAACACAUUUAGCAAGCAACAAUAACUUUCUAGAAUGCUGGGGAUUAUGUAUCGCUGAGGUUCUCUGCGGGGAGCAAGCAAUUCCCGCGACUGAAAUAGGCCUUUUGAACCUGGGAGAGGCAGAUCUGUGCGCCUGUAUCGGGGCGAACAUCUGAUUCUCUUAAUUACAUUCUGUCCUUGCUUCAGUCCUUCUCAUUUUUUGCUUCUGGGGCCUGAGCUCUCCCAAAACUGCUCGGCUUGAAUGAUCUUAAAAAAUUAGACUGGGUCUAUUUCCAGGGUGCUGGGGUCUGAAGCAGGAAGAAGCCUCCUCUACGAUGAAAAAACAGACUGGGAACAUAGGUCUCUUUCUCAUCCACAGCCUCCCCUGCUGCUAAGUUAGUCACCGCAACACCUGCCACUCCAUCAGUGCAAGAGGAAAGUGGACCGAGCCUGGGGUCUAAGUGCUCUGUAUUCAAAUUACUCUCUCAACCAAUUCCAGGCAAAACAACUUGUCUUCAAAGACACGGGUGUCCUGUGGGGGUUACAGCAGCUUAUAUAUCACAAGACAGUUAAAGCUGGGACCCAGAGAUGUUUUCGCGAAGGCGCCACCCUCAGAUCUGUUGGGAGAAGUUUGGAACACCUUACUUGACCUACUUGUUACUCCAUUGUGAGGACUCAGCAGACUGGUGCAGAUAAAGCUUAGGAGAAUGUGUGGCCCACGGUGAGACCUCCAUGGCUGUUAGUGACGGUGAAUCCACCAGAUACUAAAGAUCAUGGUAACAGGUAAGCCUCUUCAGUGUGGAGAGGAAGCACCUGAAUUUUCUGCACCUCCUUGCCCUCCAGGACUGACUCCAUCCUUUUGCACACAUCUCCUUAAAUAGGCAGAGGCUGUGGGUUGCUGUUGAGUCAUCUGAAGACAUGGGGACCUGUGUCAGGAAGGACUACUGGCAGGGGAAGCCAGAGGGACAUAGAUCACAUCUCACGAGCAAGAGCGAAUCAGCCCAGGGUCUAUAUAGAGAGCCAGGAUGGGGCUGGGAAUCCACACCGCUAAUUGGUCAUUUGGACAAAGAAAGCCUGCUAUGUGGAUGCCUGGGCUAAGCAUUAUAUAAAGUAGCCACUCAGCAAACUUUUCUCCAAUCCCUCAUCCCCUGCCACUCCCUCUCCUUACUCUGUCUUCUCCUUUUUCUGUUCCCUCCUGCUCUCUUCUGACCUCUCAGUCUCCCUCCCCUGUCCUUUUCCCCAUCAUGAAUUUGUACUCUCUCCCCUACCCACUUGUCUGGCCCCUCUUUGUCCUCCUUUCUGGCCUCCCUUUAUCAGGGCUGGUUGUUCUAUAGUUUCUGACCUUGCUAGCCCUUCAUUUCCUGGGCUUUCUGGUAAGUCAUUUUAGUAUGAAGAAGAGGUUCUAGGAUCCUCCGCACCACCUCACCCUCUACCCAUCACUCUGUGCUUCCUUUGCGCAUGCCUCACAUGGGCUGAGGGUCUGGACAACCCAGGCCAGGACUCAUGAAACCUCAUCUACAAAAGGCUAAAGAAUAAAGCUGUGGGGCCUGGAGUUCCCACUGAAGCUGCCCAUUCGUGUUCUUGUAGUGUAAGGAAUGCUGUAGCUAAUACCUAACACACAGAUGAGCUUGCCAUCCAAUAGAUCUCCUUCCUUCUUUAUAAAGGGACAGGACUUGGUCAUGGACACUUCUUGACCUCAUCAGAGCCCAGAGUAAGCCUACAUCCGAGCAUUAUGUUCCCAAUUUCCACUUGCACAGACCAAAGUUUCUUGGCCCCUCUCCUCUAGGCUCCUAAGGGAUUGUAUGGGUCCUGUGACCCAGAAUCCAGCCUUGAACUUGUGAACAGAGAAGGACACACAAGUUAUGUAGCUGCCAGUUAGGUUGGAACUCUCAGAUCCCUGUCCAAAAUUAGAGAAUUUGGAAAAUAAGUCUUGGUUGAUACAAUAUACGAGGCACAUGCAUAUGUGCCUGCACACAUACAGGAAUUAUGAAGGAAACAUUUGUGCGUCUUUAUUCUUAGAGACUGCAGGAAUGAAUUCAGCAGAGAACACAGUGGGAGUUCGACCCAGUUUAGCAGAAAGUCUGUCUGAACUGAAACUGCAGAUAGCACUCCCAGUUCUUGUUCUCAUGAUGCCACUGCCCGUGUACGGAACCAUACGUCAGAGGGGCAAAAUCAGAAAUGGGAGGUGGGGUACGGCAGCUCAAUAUCAUGGGCCUUCCAUGGGACAGGGACUGGGAUUUGUGGGAGAUUUGCACGGAAGCCAUGAAGGGUGAUGAAUAGGGUGAAAGAGGAAGAAGGGGCAAGAGAAGGUAGCCCCUGCGUGUUCUUGAAGGAUCAGUGUGGGCCUGCCUAUUGCCCUAUUAGUGACACCUUGCCUGAGAAGAACCGGAUGGGCCCUCUGUCCACCUGCCUCUUCUAUCUGUUCACACUGCACAGGAAGGGGCUGGGGACCAGCACACUGCUUUCUACUGCUGGUUUUAUGAUUCUAACUGGGUUGCUGUCGGUGACAAACUGCAAUGCCAAACGUGUUCCUUACCCCUUGCCCAAGUCACAGACAUCGACUCUUCCUCCAAAGCAACAAGUGAAUGAAGGGGUUCCGGAAGACUGUACCAUUGGACUAUGGUCUAUGACUACCUACGCAUACCUCUCCCCUUACAGGUACUGUUAUGGUCUGAAUAGCAGAGGUUCAUAAGCUCAGAUGCUUGAAACUCGGUCCCUGUCUAUUGGCCUCAUGGUGGGCAGUCGUAGAUCCUUUAGAAGGUGAGGCCUCAGUGAAGGAAGUAGGCUAGUUUAACAUUUAACAAGUUUAAAACAGUUCUGAUUUAAAGGUAAGAAAGCUGGGACUCAGACUGGCUCCCAGUUGCAUGGCUCAGAGAGUUUCAAGCUCGGCACCUGCCUUCAGUUUUCCUGCUUCCCAGGAGACUCAGAGGAGAAAGAACAAACGGGCACACAUCCUCCCUCCAUGGCGCCGCCUACCACCAGGCUUCCCUACCACGAGCCGAAAUAAGUCUUUCUUCUAUGACCUAGUUUGUUGUCAGAUAUUGGCCAUAAGAACUAUGAAUAAUACGGGCAUCUAAUUUCUUUCCUUAAUAAAAGAACAUUGAUCAGAGAAGAUAUCUGCUAUACACACAGCCGACAUACUGCCAACUCACUAAAUGGAGUCAAGUCAAGCGCCUGAUGGCCAAAGGUCAUCUGUGAGUUUAGGUGCAAGAAGGGAAGCAUAAAACCCCUGGGAAUAAAUGUUGUCCACCCUCAAGGUACCCAGAAUCAGAUAUGUUCAGAGGAUCAGAGAAGGCAAAGAGGCCCUGGAUAAGAACACAUCAACUAUACACCAGACAUCCAGCUAGUUUUCCAUGAAUGUGUGAGUGUGAACAUGUGUACUUGCAUGUGGGUGUGUGUGCAUGUACUGGUGUCCAUAUUUAUGUGCGUGUGUGCGAGUGUGUGCGAGUGUGUGUGUGUGUGUGUGUGUGUGUGUGUAUGCACGUGCAUACAUGUCACAAGAGUCACUGAUCCCCCUAUAUCUAGCCUCCAGCCCAGCACUUGGGUUACAAGUUUAAGUGUGACCUCAUCAAGCCAUUCGUGUGGGUGCUGCGUUACAGCCCAGGACCUCAUGUGCACAGUGGGUGUUCUUACCACUCCCUCACCUCUCCAGCUCCUACUUCAUAAAGUGUAGGCAUUUGUUGCUACAAAUGUCCCCUCUAGACUGCUUUGGCUGUCUCCAUGCAUUCUGAUGAAUGGUUUUUAUUUGUCUUAAAUAAAAGGGUCUCAACAACUGUCCUUUUAAACAUGAUUGUUGACUCAUUGAUUGAAUUGGUUUAUACUUGUUUUAACCUUUAACUUUUAAACAUCUUUGACUUGAAGAUGAGAAAAAUUGGAAAUAAAAAUGAUAAUUUGCUCAGGUUCCAGGGCUGGUAAUUAUGGAGCCUUUAUCUCCUCUCUUUUUGUAAACAAAGUACUGCCAAGUCCCAGGGGAUGGUGCAAGCUUAGAGCUCAGCCAGAGGCAAGGUACCUGCCUUUAAGGGAGUCUGUAGGGAGUAGAAGACUGAAGGAUGGGCUGCAUCAAAUCUAGAAACAGGGUCAGAAGAGUGUAAAGGGAACUCAGCCCACUGAGGCAGCAUCAAAGAGUCUGUGCUUGCCUAAAAUUCUAAAUGACAACAUUUCAGCUUAUGUCAAGAGUGAGGGGGUGUGGAGGGUAUUCAGAGACUGCCUUAGCUCAUAUGCCCAUGCCCUUCUCAGCCAGCUAAAGUCAUGGCCUGCAAAGCCCUUGUGUGUAUUCCUCAGAGUGGAGGCAUGAGUGGUCAUUAGCAGUCACAAUGCAGGGUGACCAACUCCACCCGAGGAAAUUAAGCUUGGAAGUUGUUUGGAGGCAGUGUGGAGGGUAUCAGCAGCUCAUCUGGUGGCCCACAGCAAUUUAUGAAAAUCCUAAUUGGCUACAAAAAGAACAUCUCCAGUUACAGGAACACUGCACUCCAGCUGGCAGCAGGGAGUCCCUUGCUGUCCUGUCCUUCAAAGGAAGAAACAAGAAGAGGGCUGUCUGCCCUGAACAACUCACAAACAGGAAGUGGUCCUUCCAGGCCACUCCCCUCUAUGCUCACCUCCCCUCAAGAUUUGUGAGCAUCCACAUGCUGGGUUAGUGUUCCCCAAAACUCAAUGGCUGGAUUGCAGUAGAGUUUUUUUUACCAACACAGAAUAUAGCUGUGCUCCCCUCAAUUCAUGUGCAGUAUGGAUGAACAUUAACAAUGACCACAAAGAUGCCAAACAAAAGUCUGGGAGUUCAGAGCACCCACCCAGCUGGAAAUUGAGCUUCCAUCCCGUGCAUGAGCAGCAUUAGCCACCGAGCAGUCUCUCCAGUUUGGGCAGGAGGUUUUAAAGGAAAUAGAUCAUGAUGGGACAAAUAAACAUGGCUGAGUUUUUACAUCUAUAAAAAUCUUCACAAGGUGUUGGCCAGGGCAUCACUGGUUGGGAAAUGAUUAAAAAGACUGAAUCUCAGGCCUUCUCAAAUGAAAUCUUUGCUUUAAAAGAGACUUCAGAAUGAUCCAUUUUCAAUGAAGUCUGAGCCUCAUUUUCUUACACUACAAGGGCAUAGGCAAGACCUCUACAUAUGACGUACUUGGCAUGACAUGGAUCAUCCACUAGACCCGAGUUACUAGGGGCUCAAAUAACAGCGCUCUUCUAUGUUCUGAGUACCAUUUGCUUUUAAAUACCAUAUAUUCUCGCUCCCCUAAUGCCCUUUUUCUCCUUGGUUGUGCUGAGAAGGGAAGCCAGGGUCUUGUGCAUCACAGUCAAUGUUUUCCUACUGGGCUGCACCCUAAGCCCUGCCUUCUGACUCAGCCUCAGACUUACCGUCUUCUUCCUCAGCAUCCUCAGCGCUGUGGGUCUGACCUCUCAAGAUCAUUUUCUACUGGCCUUGGUGUAUGACCUCUAGAAUAUUCCUUUGUCCCUCCAAACCCCAGAAUCAGGAUGAAAAUCACAAAGCUCAUGAGUUAUCUAAGCACUAAGAGGUGCCUGUUCAUCUCCACUUUGAAGCUAGAAACACCACUCUCCAUGGGCCUUGGAUGUCAUGCGUCCUCAGUGAACCUUAGUGCUCAAUUAUGUCAUCUUUCAGGAAUGCGCCAUGUGCCACAGAAACUUACUGGAUGCUGUGUCGGUACUGAGGCUCUGCGAACUCUGGUUUCUUCUACUCUUUUCUAAGUUCUCACUGCUUCAUAUUCCUUUAUGAAUUAUUCUCCCCACACAUUCUCAUUGAAAUCUAGUGUUUCAUAGGUAUUGGAUGAAUCUUUCAUGCACCCACUAUAUCUAAUAAGAGUGCAUGUGUAUAAUCUACACAUUUUAUAAGACAUUCAUAGGUGGAUUAUUAUAGAUAUGUUUCCAAUUUAAAUUUACAUAUUUUACAUUUAUACAUAGUUGGGCACCUGUGAGUAUCUUGAAGAAAAUAAGACAAUUACACCCAUGUCUUGGAUCAACAGGGGUGUUCUCGCAUAAGCGUCCAGUAUCGGUACUGACAGGACCAAGAGCACUUGUGAGCUUUCUGACUUAGGAACUAAAGACCCUGGGGUGCACCCUGCUGUCCCAAAGGGGACAUAGAGAGAUAAGAGAAGGAAAGAAAGGUCUUACUGGGGUUUUGUGCAUCUCUAGACAUAGAGAUGUCCAUUUUCCUAGGGAGGUGACUAGUAGAUUUUACAUCAUCCUCUUAUAACCAAACACUUCAUUCAGAGGUUAUAUUUACACAGCCCGUUAGGAAAUUUUUUUACACUUUUGACACUCAUUAGACUCAUAAUCGUCCACUGGAGCUACUCUAUAACAAGAGAUAAACACUCCAUUCUAAAGGAUGAAUAAUAAUUAGGUACUGCUUGGCACUGUGCUCUUUGCGGGUCUAAUUUUAGAGCAUAAUUAAUCCUGCUGAAACUGCAUAAGAUAAGUGAAAUAUUUAUGCAGCUGUGCUAAUUCAUGUAUUUACUCCUAGAGAGACAUUCAGAAUUGGACGCGGCUUUCCGGGAAGAUUAUCUUAAGAUGCCCCCUGGAGCAACGUCAUUUUCUCUCCCAUGUCAUUGCUUCCAGAUGGCCUCUGAGGAUGAACCGAAGGGACGCAUUUCCAGACUCCAGCAGUGUGCAAUGAUCCAGGACAAAAAGUAUCUAUAAGAACCCAAUGCUCUAUACAUUCAUAAGUCAGUGGGCUACUAGAAGAUGAUGGAAAUUUUAAGAUGUUAGAUCUGCUGGAAGAAGUGGGUCACUGGGGACACAGCCUUGAAGGCUGCGCAUUGUCCUAACCCCACUGUCACAUCUUGGCCAUGACAGACUCAGCAGCUUCCCUCCACCAAAAGCUUUCCUCACCAGGCACUGCUCCACCACAGGCCUGAAAGCAACGGAAUUACAGAGGGAAACCACAAGACAAAACAACCUUUUUCUCCUUUAAGUUGCUCAUCCUGGGUUUCUUUGUCAUAGCGAUGAAAAGCUGACUCACACAAGAGCUCAGUUAUGUAAGGCUACCGGCAAGGGUUCUGAGUGUAGCCUACCUUUGGGGUCACACAAUUCUGCAUUCUAAAGUACAAGAGGAACAGCCUGGAUAUUUUAAGGAAUCUAUCGGCAUCCUUCAUCCUGAGCCUUACCUUGUCAACUACAAGGUCUU